GGGUGAACCGGCCCAGGUCGGAAACGGAG
rnacentral:piRNA from 2 species